GGGAAUCCUCCCCGGCCACCACCACCACUGCCACCUCCUCCAUAGCCUCCACGGCCCAUGGGUCCUAGUACAGAUGCAAUCAUUAAUCAUUUCCUUAGUUUGGUUAGCCUACCUCUUCCAUAAAACUUAUUUUUAUCAUCUUCUACAUUGUGUUCCAUAACCUCUUUAAACCAGAAAAAUAUAAAAGACUCACCUCCUCGCCCUCGGCCUCCGCGACCAUUUCCACCACCCCGAUUGAAGUCAGCUCGGCGGGUAGCAAAUGAAACUUUAAUAGGAUUCCCAGAGAAUUCUUUACCUUAAGAAGUAACAGUGGGUGAUUUAACCAAAACUAAGUAUGUUUGAAAACCUUUGUGGAAAUUUACUAUUUGUUUGUUUGGGACGGAGUUGUAGCCCUGGCUGUCAUGAAACUCACUAUUUGAGGUGACCUCAAACUCAGAGGUCCACCUCCCUCUGCCCCUCAAGGGCUGGAAUUAAAGGCACACAUCACCAUGCCCAGCUUCACUCUUAACUUUUUUUAUUAGAUAUUUUCUUUAUUUACAUUUCAAAUGUUAUCCCCUUUCCUAGUUUCCCCUCCGAAAAUGCCCUAGCCCCUCUGCCUCCCCAAAAACCCACCCACUCCCGCUUCCUGGCCCAGGCAUUCGCCUAUACUGGGGCAUAGAACCUUCACAGGAUCAAGAGCCUCUCCUCCCAUUGAUGACUGACUAGGCCAUCCUCAGCUACAUAUGCAGCUGGAGGCAUGAGUCUCUCCGUGUGUUUUCUUUGAUUGGUGGUUUAGUCUCAGGGAGCUCUGGGGGUACUGGUUAGCUCAUGUUCCUCCUAGCCGCCUCUGCAUCAAGGAAUCUUCUCCCAGUUUCCAGGAAAAUUCCCCAUUCCUAGACUCCUUACACAGUGGUGUCCCACUCCCUCUCCCGCAACAGCAAAUUUACUUGAAUUGGAUUGGGGAGGAAAUUAGAGGAAGGGGGUGAGCCCAUGUGUUUGGGGAGAGUAAAUGAGAGAAUUCUGAUUUGCUGCGCUAAUGCUGUAUGAGGUUCAGGGCUGAGUGAUUGCCAUAUUUUAUAACAUGUGCCAUUCACAAGAACCCAAAUGGGAUACUCCUGUUUCUAUUUCACAAACAAGGAGACAGGCUCAGAAUUGGGCUGCGUGCCACUUGAGAAGGGUCCACAUCUGUGGUGUGGUGGAGCUGACUCCAGAGCAGAGUCCUUUCAUGAGGCCCCAAGAUGGUGCUAAUUAAGGGGCUAAUUUAACUUUUAAAAGUAAGAAUUUUACAAGUAGCUAUAAAGGUUUUGGGGCUGGUCAGUGGUGGCACAUGCCUUCAAUCCUAGUACUCAAGAGGCAGAUCUCUAGUUUGAGACCAGUCAAGGCUACACAGAGAAACCCUGUCUCAAAAGACGGGGUGGGGAGACAGGGCUGUAAAAGCAGUAUAAUAUGAAAGGGUCUGAUUUAGAACUCCAGCACCAUACAAAAAAGCAAGAUAACUUGGUAUGAGUGCCACCAAGCCUGAUGACCCAUGUUCAAUCCUAUGAGCCCAUAUGGUAAAAGGAAUUACCCCAGAUGGUUUGCUACUUAUGCCAUGGCAUGCACAUGCGCACCCAUGUACACAAUAAAUGCUGAGACCUGCAGAUCCAAAACACUUAGAUCCAAAAGAUCUAAGACUGUCUUCUUGGAAAGAUGUAUAGAAUACUAAUGGGACACGAACAAAAAUGAAACCACACCAAGAUGGCUCAACAGGUAAAGGUGCUUGAUGACAAGCCUGACCACUCAAGUUCCAUCCCUAUGAACCACUUAAAAGAACUGUUACCUGUAAGUCAUUGUCUGAACAUCAAACAUCUUUCCAUACACAAUAAAAAAAAAAAAACAAACAAACAAAAUGGAACCUGCUUCCCUAACCCACAGCCCACCCUAGUUUUAAUACAUACCAUCAAACCAGUCGAUAGCUGCUUUAGCAGAAGGUGGGUCAUCAAAUGAAACUGUUGCCUCACCCUUCAACUUGCCAGUUUCCCUGUCUGUGUACAAAUUAAUCAUAGGCUGUCCAGUUUUCUUGUUUGUCUGAACAAC
rnacentral:lncRNA from 1 species